UUCCUGAAAUAACUUUGAGGAACGUACCCCCUUCUAAUAGGGUUGUUUUGAAGAAGUGAUAGGCCAAAAGUUUAUAUUUAAAGAAUGUCUAAAAAGAACCUCCCGGGAACCUUUCCCCUUUAGAGUGCAUUUGUAUGUAGAGCAAAACCAGAAGAUUUCAAAAGAUCCUUCAUGAAACAGACACAUUUAGCAGUCCUUUUUUAGACCAAUGUAACUUCCUUUGAUAACCAUAAGGUUUCCCUUAUUUUAUUAGCAAUUUAGUCAUGAAAAUGUGGUACACAGUAGUUGAGGUUUGUCUGCUCUUGGAGCCUGCUUUGUCAUUUGUUCAUUCAAUAUGCAAAUUACAUUCUUAUUUUGUUGCAUACCUUAUUUAGUUAUUGUUUUUGAAGCUUUAUAUGCUAGGCCUCAAGAAACUAGUAAUUUUAAUAGCCCUUAUUGUUGAUAAAAUCUAACCACAAGGUGGCAGUAUAUGCUAACCUCUAUGCAGUGAGUGUCGUUAUAGAUAUUGUCUGAUGAUGCUUGCUUUGACAUUCCUAUGCUUGAGAUUUCAAUUGCUUUUGUUCCCAAUAAUGUCUAAAGCUGCAAUGUUUAAAUGAAGCUUGUCCUUUUAGUUUUUGGUUAAUUUUAUUCUUUAAAAGUAACAAUAUUGUUUCAUUAUAUUGAACAAUAUGCAAACCAGGAUAAGUAAGCCAGUGAGAGUGAAAUUGUAUGAAUAAAAUGUGAAGGGAAGAGUGAAUUGUUUCUGUAAUUAAACAUGUAAAUGUGCUUUGAGACAGCAGCAAUUGCGUUUAAAAGCUGUAUUGUUAUAAUAUUGCCAUUGGUUAGCACACUCCCACUCAAAUUCUCAAGGUGUAAACUGAUGUAAGAAUGCUUUUGGGCCUGAAAUUAAAUUGUGUCAUGUGCAUAACUAAAAGUGUUUGUUAUAAAAGAGAAAGUGGGUACUUUUUCAGCAUUGCUUUUAUAGCUAUAAUUGCAGGUUCACAUACAGACAACAAAAUCGAAUGUGUUCCAUUGUUUUAGCUUGUGUUCUUAUAAAAGGGUGCUCUAACAUAAAUUUACUUUAAGUAUGUGUUGAAUGGCCCGUAAUCCCAUAGUGGUUUGGAAGGUGAACGCUUUCUGAUUCAAAUGCUUUUUGUUUAAACUGCAGAAUGCCCCUUUAAAAAAAGUCAACAGAAAGCUGUGAUCCACACUAUUGUCAUUUUUUCAUUAAAAUCUAUGAAUUGCCAUGGUGGAAAGCUGCCAACCUUGAGUGUAAUAGGUUUACAUUUCAAUGGCACUGUACCUGAACAUAUUUACUCUGGCAUAUCCUGUCAGAACAUACAGUG
ensembl:lncRNA